rnacentral:rRNA from 1 species
GAUGAACGCUGGCGGCGUGCCUAAUACAUGCAAGUCGAGCGAACGGACGAGAAGCUUGCUUCUCUGAUGUUAGCGGCGGACGGGUGAGUAACACGUGGAUAACCUACCUAUAAGACUGGGAUAACUUCGGGAAACCGUAGCUAAUACCGGAUAAUAUUUUGAACCGCAUGGUUCAAAAGUGAAAGACGGUCUUGCUGUCACUUAUAGAUGGAUCCGCGCUGCAUUAGCUAGUUGGUAAGGUAACGGCUUACCUAGGCAACGAUGCAUAGCCGACCUGAGAGGGUGAUCGGCCACACUGGAACUGAGACACGGUCCAGACUCCUACGGGAGGCAGCAGUAGGGAAUCUUCCGCAAUGGGCGAAAGCCUUACGGAGCAACGCCGCGUGAGUGAUGAAGGACUUCGGAUCGUAAAACUCUGUUAUUAGGGAAGAACAUAUGUGUAAGUAACUGUGCACAUCUUGACGGUACCUAGUCAGAAAGCCACGGCUAACUACGUG